rnacentral:rRNA from 1 species
CGUGUAGGCGGUCUCGCAAGUCAGGGGUGAAAUACACCGGCUUAACCGGUUGAACUGCCCUUGAAACUGCAAGACUUGAGUGCGGGAGAGGAGAGCGGAAUUCCCGGUGUAGCGGUGAAAUGCGUAGAUAUCGGGAAGAACACCGGUGGCGAAGGCGGCUCUCUGGCCCAGCACUGACGCUGAGGCGCGAAAGCCAGGGGAGCGAACG